GAAAAUAGAGAAAGAGGGGAUUAGAGAGGAUGGUAUUUUCCAUCAAAAAUCAAAAAAAAUCCAGCUAGAAGAAGAUGAUCUAUUGAUAACCCGAUUUGGAAGAAAAGAUUUCAAACAUUGAAAAGAGAAAGAAAACUAUGUUGGUCGCUAUAGUGUUCCAGCAAAUUGAGGAGAGGAAAAGAGCUCAAGUGGGUGCUUGGGUGAGUUAAGCAUCAAGAUGGUGUAGUAGCUAUUUGAGACUUGAAGCAUCCUAGCCAGGCAUAGAAGUGAAGCGUCAGUAUUAUCACUUAGCACUCAUGUUAGAGGAGCAUUUUGUUUGACAGCUAAGCUAGAAGAGCAUUUUGUAUGCCAGUUAAGAGAGAGAAGCAUUUCAUUUUGUUAUGUUAGCAGGUGAGAAGAGUAUUUUAGGUUAUGUUGUAUAUUUUGGGUUAUUCAAAUCAGAAAAUAUGAAUGUAUUAUACUUUUAAGCUAUAUAUAUAAAGUUAUGGAUUGAUGAAUAAAAGCUUAAGGUUGUUUUGAGUUA